UCAACUGAGGAUUUAUUGGAUGGGAUUCAUUUUUGAAUACCUCUUGCUAAAUCAUGGCAAUGUUCUUGGCUCACCACACAGAAGUAUUUCGCCUAUUACAAUCUGAUUGGUGACUAUCAAGUGCAAUAUAUUCAACAGCGUUUAGUCACUUCUGCAUUUUUCUGGAAGUCAUGAGCCUUAAGUGUCUAGCCCUCUGCUCUCUCGUGGUCAUCAUUUUAAGCGUGCAUACAAUGGUGUCAUCGACUUCCAUGACGUGCCCUCCAGGCGAGAAGCCAGACUGCAUGGGAGAUGGUGGCGGGUCGCGAGUUUGCUCCUGUGUUGACAAAAACAGUACAUGCCCAUACCCGGGAAAUUCAUGCCCUGGAAACGAGCGACCAGAUUGCAACGAUACGCUUCAUGCAUGCAUCUGCACAUGCUGUGAGUACAUCCGCUUUGUAUUA